rnacentral:lncRNA from 1 species
UAUUGCGUAACAUGAUAUGAUUGCUCUUCCUAAAAUGAAAAACAAACAUAAAAUGGUUGCUAAAUGAAAAGGUUAUAUAUGUCACUUGUUUGGUUAAAAACAAUAGGACUCGAAACUUCUCUCUUAGAAUAUCUACUAACGUAAAAGAAAAGUAGUACAGUAUUCGACUUCCAAAGUUUUUUUUUUUGCUAAAUUCUAUUUUCAAAGUUUCACAGACUUUUUUUCUUAACUUAACUAUGCAUACUUUUGAAACUAUAUUUCUGUUGAUAAUUUUGACUCUCAGAUUAUUCAUAUUUACAUAUAUUGAUGGUCAUAGACUCAUAGUUUUUGAUACAAUAACUAUAUAUUUUAAUCAAUUAAGCUACAAGAAUAAAAAUAUAAACAAUAAAGUUAUCGAAGAGAACACCGUUAUUUUGUUUAUAGACUAUCUUCUUCUCUCUGAAUGAUUUUUUUUUUUUUUUGUCAAUCUCUCUGAAUGAUUAAUAUCCCUUUUAGAUUUUUAUUUUGAAGUAAAGAACAUAUUAAAUACUCUUUCUAUUCCUUAAGAUCAAUGUUUUAGAAUUUUCACACUUUUUAAUAAAUCAUAUUAAAACUUAGUUAUAAAUGCAUAGUUUUUUGUAAUUUUAUAUUUCCUAUAUUUUUAAACCAAUAAGAUUUUAAAAAAUACAAUUAAUUUACUUGAACUUCACAAUUUUUCAUUAUUAAUUGACAAAAAU